rnacentral:other from 1 species
UUCCUGGUUUAAACGAUAGCUGCCAUAAUCCUCGAGCCGAUAUUAAAAAAACUAGGAGAUAGUCUAAAUUUUUUGGUGAGCAUGCCCUUAUCAUUUAGGGAAGCCUUAUAAAAUGCGAUUAUCACCGCCUUGAACUUCACGGUUCAGGGUAAUGCCAGCAACGUCAAAUCGGGAA